UACGUAGGGUGCAAGCGUUGUCCGGAAUUAUUGGGCGUAAAGAGCUCGUAGGCGGUCUGUUACGUCGGCUGUGAAAACCUGGGGCUCAACCCCGGGCCUGCAGCCGAUACGGGCAGACUAGAAUUCGGUAGGGGAGACUGGAAUUCCUGGUGUAGCGGUGGAAUGCGCAGAUAUCAGGAGGAACACCGGUGGCGAAGGCAGCUCUCUGGGACGGUACUGACGCUGAGACGCGAAAGCGUGGGGAGCGAACAGG
rnacentral:rRNA from 1 species